rnacentral:lncRNA from 1 species
AGGGGACGAAAGUUAGCUAGAAUCGAUAGCUAGCUACAACGCUUCAAAAUGUAUAUAUUAAUGUUUUACGCAUUGUAGCUUUGGUUUAAAGUCCCAAUCCCGCGUAGACUUCAAGUAUCGUUUCGAUCAUUUGCAGUGAAAUUCACAGAGACAGCCAGGUAGAGCUGUGCAAAGAUGGAUGUCCAGUUGUCUAUCAGCUUCCUGAGGGACAGACUGGGUGGGGCCAUUGAGGAGGCAGUGCGUACAGCAGUGGAGUCUGUGCUGUGUGAGACUGUGCGUCUGUUAACCGGGCUCCAAGGGGACCAGCAGCAUGGACUUUCUUCAGUGACCCUGAGGGACCAGGACACCCUGGGACUGAAGCAGAGGUUAGAGGCCCCCAGCGGGGGUGACUGGAGGGUGCAGGCUGGGUCUUCAGGGGCAUUCUGUAACACAGGACCGAGGGGUAGUGGUGGGUGCAGCAACACUAAGAAUCCAAUGGGUCAGACUACUUGCUCAACCUCCCAAGCAUCACAAAGGACCACUGUGGAGCCCCAACCCCAAGAGGUGGUGGAGGACUGUGCUGGACUGCCUGACCCGUUUGACCUUGUGUCGGCUGGGCCAGUGAUGGUGGACUUUGAGGAGGGUCAGGGCAUGGGGAUCCCAGAGGAGUGGGAGCUGAUGAACAGAGUGUACAAGACAGAGCACAAUGAAGACAUGGCCCUUAUUGACGGGGGCGGUAGCACUCAAUUUGCAGAUGACCACAGGCUGCAUGAAGGAGACCAGAGGACUGUGGCUGUGCCCCUGGAAGGAGAGAUGGCUGCCAAGCCCCAGGACACAUUGCACCCCUGUUUCAGCCCAGCCAACAUCAAAACAGAGCGACCUGAGAUAGAGAGAUGCUGCAUGGCUGAGGAGGCCCUUGCUCUGCCUCUGCCUCAUCCUGCCAAUAGUGGUGUGGAGGCCGGUGACUUUGGGCAGGAGCAGGUGGAGGCUGGUCCACAGGACUUUGUAGGUCGCCUGCGCCUGUGGCUGGAGCAGCUAUGUCCUGAGGUGGUCCGGGAGUACGAGAGGGAGGGCUGUCUGUGUGAGCUGUCCCGCAGGAAGCUUAUCAAGUUCUCUGUGUCCUUCAUCGUGGAGGAGUUUGGAUUCUACCCUACCUCUGCUCAGAAGACCAUGCUGGCAGAGCACAUAGUGGAGCUCUUCCCAGGACUCAGGCUCUGUGCACCCUCUGCUGGCAUCAAUGGCAUAGAACACUUGUACGACCCUUUGUCCCGUACGGGUUACAUUGAGACGCGCCUGCGCAACUCUCGACGCACCCUUGAAGACCACAAGAAGAAGUAUGUGCUGAAGAGGCGUCGGCCAGAGCCAGGCCUAGCGGACCCUCCUGGACCUAGAUCGGGGCCUGGGCUCCUGGAGAGACAGUCCAGCGAGGAGACCCAGAGGUGGAUGGAGCUGAUGAAGAGAACCAGGCCCCUGACCAGGAACCUGCCUGCCAUCCACAGUGCUAUGGACCUCACAUUCAACGCACGCAGGAGAUGGAUCAGCAACACACGGCCUAGUAUGAGGGCUGUGCUGGCUGAGUACCCACGUUUUCUUGACGUUCCCGCCACGACUCCUACACCCUGACUAUGCUGAAGGUCCUGAUCUAUGUACUAACAUCAACAAACACCAGUAGAGCCUCCUUACCCUCCAGGAGCAGUGUCAGGC